UGCCUUGGCAUUAGAAGGCGAUGAAGGACGUAAUACGCUGCGAUAAGCUUCGGGGAGCUGCGAAUAAGCUUUGAUCCGAAGAUUUCCGAAUGGGGAAACCCACCUAAUUUAUUAGGUAUUGUAUAGUGAAUACAUAGCUAUAUGAGGCAAACCCAGCGAACUGAAAUAUCUAAGUAGCUGGAGGAAAGGACAUCAACCGAGACUCCGUUAGUAGUGACGAGCGAACGCGGACCAGGCCAGUGGCUUCAAAAAAAUAACUAAAACAACAUGGAAAGGUUGACCGUAGAGGGUGAUAGCCCCGUAUAGGUAAAAAGUUUGAAGUCCUUGAGUAAGGCGGGACACGUGAAAUCCUGUCUGAACAUAGGGGGACCACCCUCUAAGCCUAAGUACUCUCUAGUGACCGAUAGUGAACAAGUACCGUGAGGGAAAGGUGAAAAGUACCCCGACAAGGGGAGUGAAAUAGUAUCUGAAACCAAAUGCUUACAAGCAGUCGGAGCAAGCAUUUAUGUCUUGUGACGGCGUACCUUUUGUAUAAUGGGUCAGCGACUUAGUUUAUCUAGCAAGCUUAAGCCGUUAGGUGUAGGCGUAGCGAAAGCGAGUCUGAAUAGGGCGACUAUAGUUAGAUGAAUUAGACCCGAAACCGAGUGAUCUAGCCAUGGCCAGGUUGAAAGCGGAGUAAAAUCCGCUGAAGGACCGAACCCACUACUGUUGAAAAAGUAGGGGAUGAGCUGUGGUUAGGGGUGAAAGGCCAAUCAAACUCGGAUAUAGCUGGUUCUCCGCGAAAUCUAUUUAGGUAGAGCGUUAUAGCGGUUACCAUCGGAGGUAGAGCACUGAAUGAGCUAGGGGGUCCCACAGACUUACCAAACUCAAUCAAACUCCGAAUGCCGAUGAGUAUAGCAUAGCAGACAGACUAUGGGUGCUAAGGUCCAUAGUCGAGAGGGAAAAAGCCCAGACCGCCAUCUAAGGUCCCUAAAUCAUGACUAAGUGUUAAAGGAUGUGAGAAGACCAAAACAACUAGGAUGUUGGCUUAGAAGCAGCCAUCAUUUAAAGAAAGCGUAAUAGCUCACUAGUCUAAAUAAGUUUUCUUGCGCCAACAAUGUAACGGGGCUCAAGUCAUGUACCGAAGAUGCGGAUUCACACAUUUGGUGUGAGUGGUAGCGGAGCGUUCCGUAAGCCUGUGAAGGUGAACCGUAAGGUUUGCUGGAGGUAUCGGAAGUGAGAAUGCUGACAUAAGUAGCGAUAAAGAAUGCGAGAAACAUUCUCGCCGAAAGUCCAAGGGUUCUUGCGUAAAGUUAAUCUGCGCAAGGUUAGUCGGCCCCUAAGGUGAGGCUGAAAGGCGUAAUCGAUGGGAAUCAGGUUAAUAUUCCUGAACCUGAAGGAUGUGACGAAAGUAGUAAGUUGUACAGUCUUAUUGGAUUGAUUGUGCAGCGAAUAUUUUCCAGGAAAUAACACCUUCAUUAUAGACCGUACCCGAAACCGACACAGGUGGACAGGUAGAGUAUACCAAGGCGCUUGAGAGAACGAUGCUGAAGGAACUAGGCAAAUUGCAUCUGUAACUUUGGAAGAAAGAUGACCUACAUAUGGGCAACCAUUUGUGGGUGGCACAAGCUAGGGGGUAGCGACUGUUUAUUAAAAACACAGGGCUCUGCAAAGUCAAUAGACGAAGUAUAGGGUCUGACGCCUGCCCAGUGC
rnacentral:rRNA from 1 species